AACGAACGCUGGCGGCAGGCCUAACACAUGCAAGUCGAACGCCCUAGCAAUAGGGAGUGGCAGACGGGUGAGUAACGCGUGGGAACGUGCCCUUCGGUUCGGAAUAACUCAGGGAAACUUGAGCUAAUACCGGAUACGUGCGAGAGCAGAAAGAUUUAUCGCCGAAGGAUCGGCCCGCGUCCGAUUAGCUAGUUGGUGAGGUAAUGGCUCACCAAGGCGACGAUCGGUAGCUGGUCCGAGAGGAUGAUCAGCCACACUGGGACUGAGACACGGCCCCGACUCCUACGGGAGGCAGCAGUGGGGAAUAUUGGACAAUGGGCGCAAGCCUGAUCCCGCCAUGCCGCGUGAGUGAUGAAGGCCCUAGGGUUGUAAAGCUCUUUCGCCAGGGACGAUAAUGACGGUACCUGGAUAAGAAGCCCCGGCUAACUUCGUGCCAGCCGCCGCUGUAA
rnacentral:rRNA from 1 species